rnacentral:rRNA from 1 species
CUGGCUCAGGAUUAACGCUGGCGGCGUGCCUAAUACAUGCAAGUCGAAUGGUAGCAAUACCAUGGCGAACGGGUGAGUAACACGUAGGUAACCUGUCUUAAGCCGAGGAUAACCAUUGGAAACGAUGGAUAAUACUGGAUAGGACAUUUGAAGGCAUCUUUAGAUGUUUAAAGAUUUAUCACUUAGAGAGGGGCCUGCGGCGCAUUAGCUAGUUGGUGAGGUGAAGGCUUACCAAGGCGAUGAUGCGUAGCCGGACUGAGAGGUUGAACGGCCACAAUGGAACUGAGAACGGUCCAUACUCCUACGGGAGGCAGCAGUAGGGGGUUUUCGGCAAUGGGGGAAACCCUGACCGAGCAACACCGCGUGAGUGAUUGAAGGUCUUCGGAUCGUAAAGCUCUGUUACGAGGGACGAAUGAUCGCUUUAGGAAAUGAGAGCGGUUUGACGGUACCUCGCCAGAAAGCGACGGCUAACUACGUGCCAGCCGCGGC